rnacentral:misc_RNA from 1 species
AACGCACCUUGCGCUCUAUGGUAUUCCGUAGAGCAUGCCUGUUUGAGUGCCGUGAAUCCUCCCAACCCAAACGGUUUUUAUCAAAGCUGUCUGGCGUCUGGGGUGUGGAUGGGUGUCUCUGCCUCGUCUUUGUACGCAGGCUCGCCCGAAAAGCAUGUGCGCCUUGCAUGCGCCUCUCCUGGGAAGGAGGCGGCCGGCUGUUUCUGCAGGCAUGGCAUGAUACGUCAUUUGCUGUGCUAUGGAAAGAGUCUGGUAGUAUGUGGACCGUGCGCAAUUUGAUUUUCCCACUUUCACUUCUGGUCUCAAAUCAGGUAGGAUCACCCGCUGAACUUAA